ensembl:snoRNA SNORA53 small nucleolar RNA SNORA53
AACACGCUCCUUAGAUCCACCUCUGGGGGGUGCUCCUGGUCUGUUGAGUUGGAUCUAAGUGUUGAUGCAGCUCCAGGCCGGACGCCCCCAGCAGCUUUCUGGCUGUACAGUUGGAGGUGCAUGAGUCAUUGGCGUGUGAGAACAGUCUACCUGCCCCCCAGCCCAAUCCCUGCACUGGCACCUUCACUGGAACUCUUCCAGUGCAGACCGGCUGGGGGGCGGACAUU